rnacentral:rRNA from 1 species
CGGUGGGGAUUAGUGGCGAACGGGUGAGUAACACGUGGGCAAUCUGCCCUGCACUCUGGGACAAGCCCUGGAAACGGGGUCUAAUACCGGAUAUGACCCUCGCAGGCAUCUGUGAGGGUGUAAAGCUCCGGCGGUGCAGGAUGAGCCCGCGGCCUAUCAGCUUGUUGGUGAGGUAACGGCUCACCAAGGCGACGACGGGUAGCCGGCCUGAGAGGGCGACCGGCCACACUGGGACUGAGACACGGCCCAGACUCCUACGGGAGGCAGCAGUGGGGAAUAUUGCACAAUGGGCGAAAGCCUGAUGCAGCGACGCCGCGUGAGGGAUGACGGCCUUCGGGUUGUAAACCUCUUUCAGCAGGGAAGAAGCGAAAGUGACGGUACCUGCAGAAGAAGCGCCGGCUAACUACGUGCCAGCAGCCGCGGUAAUACGUAGGGCGCAAGCGUUGUCCGGAAUUAUUGGGCGUAAAGAGCUCGUAGGCGGCUUGUCGCGUCGGUUGUGAAAGCCCGGGGCUUAACCCCGGGUCUGCAGUCGAUACGGGCAGGCUAGAGUUCGGUAGGGG